rnacentral:rRNA from 1 species
UACGUAGGGUGCGAGCGUUAAUCGGAAUUACUGGGCGUAAAGCGUGCGCAGGCGGUUUUGUAAGCCCGAUGUGAAAUCCCCGGGCUUAACCUGGGAAUGGCAUUUGGGACUGCAAGGCUGGAGUGUGGCAGAGGAGACUGGAAUUCCUGGUGUAGCAGUGAAAUGCGUAGAUAUCAGGAGGAAUACCGAUGGCGAAGGCAGGUCUCUGGGCAUUAACUGACGCUGAGGAGCGAAAGCAUGGGGAGCGAACAGG